rnacentral:rRNA from 1 species
CCUACGGGAGGCUGCAGUGAGGAAUAUUGGUCAAUGGCCGGAAGGCUGAACCAGCCAUGCCGCGUGAAGGUCAGUGCCCUAUGGGCGUUAAACUUCUUUUGUGCGGGAGCAAUAAUGGUCACGUGUGGCCAGACGAGAGUACCGUACGAAUAAGCAUCGGCUAACUCCGUGCCAGCAGCCGCGGUAAUACGGGGGAUGCAAGCGUUAUCCGGAUUUACUGGGUGUAAAGGGAGCGUAGACGGCAGUGCAAGUCUGGAGUGAAUGGCGGGGGCUCAACCCCCGGACUGCUCUGGAAACGGUACGGCUGGAGGGCAGGAGAGGUAAGUGGAAUUCCUGGUGUGGCGGGGAAAUGUGUAGAUAUAAGGGGGAACACCAGGGGAGAAGGGGGCUUAGUGGACUUUAACUGACGUUGAGGCUCGAAAGCGUGGGGAGAAAACAGGAUUAGAUACCCCAGUAGUC